rnacentral:rRNA from 1 species
AUGAACGCUGGCGGCGUGCCUAAUACAUGCAAGUCGAGCGAACAGACGAGGAGCUUGCUCCUCUGACGUUAGCGGCGGACGGGGGAGUAACACGUGGAUAACCUACCUAUAAGACUGGGAUAACUUCGGGAAACCGGAGCUAAUACCGGAUAAUAUAUUGAACCGCAUGGUUCAAUAGUGAAAGACGGUUUUGCUGUCACUUAUAGAUGGAUCCGCGCCGCAUUAGCUAGUUGGUAAGGUAACGGCUUACCAAGGCGACGAUGCGUAGCCGACCUGAGAGGGUGAUCGGCCACACUGGAACUGAGACACGGUCCAGACUCCUACGGGAGGCAGCAGUAGGGAAUCUUCCGCAAAGGGCGAAAGCCUGACGGAGCAACGCCGCGUGAGUGAUGAAGGUCUUCGGAUCGUAAAACUCUGUUAUUAGGGAAGAACAAAUGUGUAAGUAACUAUGCACGUCUUGACGGUACCUAAUCAGAAAGCCACGGCUAACUACGUG